ACCGAUAGUGAACCAGUACCGUGAGGGAAAGGCGAAAAGAACCCCGGCGAGGGGAGUGAAAAAGAACCUGAAACCGUGUACGUACAAGCAGUGGGAGCACCCUUGUGGUGUGACUGCGUACCUUUUGUAUAAUGGGUCAGCGACUUAUAUUCUGUAGCAAGGUUAACCGUAUAGGGGAGCCGAAGGGAAACCGAGUCUUAACUGGGCGUUAAGUUGCAGGGUAUAGACCCGAAACCCGGUGAUCUAGCCAUGGGCAGGUUGAAGGUUGGGUAACACUAACUGGAGGACCGAACCGACUAAUGUUGAAAAAUUAGCGGAUGACUUGUGGCUGGGGGUGAAAGGCCAAUCAAACCGGGAGAUAGCUGGUUCUCCCCGAAAGCUAUUUAGGUAGCGCCUCGUGAAUUCAUCUUCGGGGGUAGAGCACUGUUUCGGCUAGGGGGCCAUCCCGGCUUACCAACCCGAUGCAAACUACGAAUACCGAAGAAUGUUAUCACGGGAGACACACGGCGGGUGCUAACGUCCGUCGUGAAGAGGGAAACAACCCAGACCGCCAGCUAAGGUCCCAAAGUCAUGGUUAAGUGGGAAACGAUGUGGGAAGGCACAGACAGCCAGGAUGUUGGCUUAGAAGCAGCCAUCAUUUAAAGAAAGCGUAAUAGCUCACUGGUCGAGUCGGCCUGCGCGGAAGAUGUAACGGGGCUAAACCAUGCACCGAAGCUGCGGCAGCGACACUAUGUGUUGUUGGGUAGGGGAGCGUUCUGUAAGCCGUUGAAGGUGUGCUGUGAGGCAUGCUGGAGGUAUCAGAAGUGCGAAUGCUGACAUAAGUAACGAUAAAGCGGGUGAAAAGCCCGCUCGCCGGAAGACCAAGGGUUCCUGUCCAACGUUAAUCGGGGCAGGGUGAGUCGACCCCUAAGGCGAGGCCGAAAGGCGUAGUCGAUGGGAAACAGGUUAAUAUUCCUGUACUUGGUGUUACUGCGAAGGGGGGACGGAGAAGGCUAUGUUAGCCGGGCGACGGUUGUCCCGGUUUAAGCAUGUAGGCGGAGGUUCCAGGUAAAUCCGGUACCUUUUAACGCUGAGGUGUGAUGACGAGGCACUACGGUGCUGAAGUAACAAAUGCCCUGCUUCCAGGAAAAGCCUCUAAGCAUCAGGUAACAUCAAAUCGUACCCCAAACCGACACAGGUGGUCAGGUAGAGAAUACCAAGGCGCUUGAGAGAACUCGGGUGAAGGAACUAGGCAAAAUGGUGCCGUAACUUCGGGAGAAGGCACGCUGAUAUGUAGGUGAAGCCCCUGCGGGUGGAGCUGAAAUCAGUCGAAGAUACCAGCUGGCUGCAACUGUUUAUUAAAAACACAGCACUGUGCAAACACGAAAGUGGACGUAUACGGUGUGACGCCUGCCCGGUGCCGGAAGGUUAAUUGAUGGGGUUAGCGGCAACGCGAAGCUCUUGAUCGAAGCCCCGGUAAACGGCGGCCGUAACUAUAACGGUCCUAAGGUAGCGAAAUUCCUUGUCGGGUAAGUUCCGACCUGCACGAAUGGCGUAAUGAUGGCCAGGCUGUCUCCACCCGAGACUCAGUGAAAUUGAACUCGCUGUGAAGAUGCAGUGUACCCGCGGCAAGACGGAAAGACCCCGUGAACCUUUACUAUAGCUUGACACUGAACACUGGUCCUUGAUGUGUAGGAUAGGUGGGAGGCUUUGAAGUGUGGACGCCAGUCUGCAUGGAGCCGUCCUUGAAAUACCACCCUUUAAUGGCUGGUGUUCUAACGUAGACCCGUGAUCCGGGUUGCGGACAGUGUCUGGUGGGUAGUUUGACUGGGGCGGUCUCCUCCCAAAGAGUAACGGAGGAGCACGAAGGUUAGCUAAUCCUGGUCGGACAUCAGGAGGUUAGUGCAAUGGCAUAAGCUAGCUUGACUGCGAGAGUGACGGCUCGAGCAGGUGCGAAAGCAGGUCAUAGUGAUCCGGUGGUUCUGAAUGGAAGGGCCAUCGCUCAACGGAUAAAAGGUACUCCGGGGAUAACAGGCUGAUACCGCCCAAGAGUUCAUAUCGACGGCGGUGUUUGGCACCUCGAUGUCGGCUCAUCACAUCCUGGGGCUGAAGUAGGUCCCAAGGGUAUGGCUGUUCGCCAUUUAAAGUGGUACGCGAGCUGGGUUUAGAACGUCGUGAGACAGUUCGGUCCCUAUCUGCCGUGGGCGCUGGAGAAUUGAGGGGGGCUGCUCCUAGUACGAGAGGACCGGAGUGGACGCAUCACUGGUGUUCGGGUUGUCAUGCCAAUGGCACUGCCCGGUAGCUAAAUGCGGAAAAGAUAAGUGCUGAAAGCAUCUAAGCACGAAACUUGCCCCGAGAUGAGUUCUCCCUGA
rnacentral:rRNA from 1 species